rnacentral:rRNA from 1 species
GACAGAGGGUGCAAACGUUGUUCGGAUUUACUGGGCGUAAAGCGCGUGUAGGCGGCUUUGCAAGUCGGAUGUGAAAGCCCACGGCUCAACCGUGGAAGUGCAUCCGAAACUGCAUGGCUCGAGUCUCGGAGAGGAAGGUGGAAUGCUUGGUGUAGAGGUGAAAUUCGUAGAUAUCGAGAGGAACAUCGGUGGCGAAGGCGGCCUUCUGGACAGUGACUGACGCUGAGACGCGAAAGCGUGGGGAGCAAACAGG